AGACGACGGUGUCGAACGCCCCGGCAAGCGCUUUCACUUUGCUCCCCCUCGCCGCCAGCUUGUCGGCUGUCUCCUCCUCUAUGACAGCGUUGUGAGCCGGUGCCGUCUCCUUCCUCCAGCUCACCGCCGCCUGCCUCUUCGACUCCAUGGUCUCUUGCGCUGCCUUGUCUACUCCAUCGCCUUCUCUCUUGCUUCCUCUUCCUUCCGCCUCAUCCCUUUGGCUUCCCGGCAUCUGCUCAUCUACAUUCUUGGCUUUGGACUCUGAUCUCCUCGAAUACUGCUCACAUUCGACGUUCUUUGCCAGGUUUCGUGCCUCAUUGCCUCUGACGACGUCCAUCAACUUCUCUUCUUCGGGUUUGACUGCAGCGGCGGUGGAAGACAUGACUUUUGGAAGGAUUCUGGCGGUCUUCACGAGCGGAACAGCC
rnacentral:lncRNA from 1 species